GAUGAGUUUGAUCCUGGCUCAGAUUGAACGCUGGCGGCAGGCCUAACACAUGCAAGUCGAACGGUAACAGGAAGUGCUUGCACUUUGCUGACGAGUGGCGGACGGGUGAGUAAUACUUAGGGAUCUGCCUUUGGGUGGGGGACAACCAUUGGAAACGAUGGCUAAUACCGCAUGACGUCUACGGACCAAAGGGGGCUUUUAGCUCUCGCCCAGAGAGGAACCUAAGCGAGAUUAGCUAGUUGGUGGGGUAAAGGCCUACCAAGGCGACGAUCUCUAGCUGUUCUGAGAGGAAGAUCAGCCACACUGGGACUGAGACACGGCCCAGACUCCUACGGGAGGCAGCAGUGGGGAAUAUUGCACAAUGGGGGAAACCCUGAUGCAGCCAUGCCGCGUGUGUGAAGAAGGCCUUCGGGUUGUAAAGCACUUUCAGACGUGAGGAAAGGGAUGUGGUUAAUACCCACAUUCUGUGACGUUAGCGUCAGAAGAAGCACCGGCUAACUCCGUGCCAGCAGCCGCGGUAAUACGGAGGGUGCGAGCGUUAAUCGGAAUUACUGGGCGUAAAGCGCACGCAGGCGGUUUGUUAAGCUAGAAGUGAAAGCCCCGGGCUCAACCUGGG
rnacentral:rRNA from 1 species